rnacentral:rRNA from 1 species
AUGGGGCAAAAGGACUCCAAGCCGUCGUAUAACUCUGCUGACUAUGGGAAUUCAUCCAACGGGUAUAACUCGAGGUAUGCAAACAUGCCCUCCAGUUACAGCCCAAGGUAUGCCUCUUCGGCGGGUAACAACGUGCAGCAGCCAGAAGCACAAGCCAGGCUGCAGAGGAAGUAUUCCAGGAUCGGUGAUGACUACCGUUCCGUCAGUCAAGUGACUGAAGCUUUGGCUCAGGCAGGCCUUGAAUCUUCAAAUCUUAUUGUAGGCAUUGAUUUUACAAAAAGUAAUGAAUGGACAGGUAAAAUUUCCUAUAACCGCCGCUGUCUACAUGAUAUUGGAAACACUCCAAACCCAUAUGAGCAAGCCAUAUCUAUUAUUGGAAGGACACUUUCAGCUUUUGAUGAAGACAAUUUGAUUCCCUGCUUUGGAUUUGGUGAUGCAUCAACUCAUGACCAGGAGGUAUUCAGCUUUUAUCCAGAGAACCAACCAUGCAAUGGAUUUGAAGAGGCAUUGGAAAGAUACAGAGAAAUUGUUCCAACUCUUCGAUUAGCUGGACCAACAUCUUUCGCUCCAAUAAUUGAGACAGCAAUUGGGAUUGCAGACAGCACCGGCGGUCAAUAUCAUGUUCUUCUGAUAAUUGCUGAUGGACAGGUUACUCGAAGUGUGGAUACACAGUCUGGGCAGUUAAGUCCGCAGGAGCGGGAUACCAUUGAUGCUAUAGUGAAAGCUAGCCACUUUCCCUUGUCUAUUGUUCUUGUUGGGGUCGGUGAUGGACCAUGGGAUAUGAUGCAUAAGUUUGACGACAACAUACCGGCUCGGUCAUUCGACAAUUUCCAGUUUGUGAAUUUCACGGAAAUUAUGUCAAAGAGCAUAGCAGCUGAUAGAAAAGAGGCUGAAUUUGCAUUGUCAGCAUUGAUGGAAAUCCCUACGCAGUACAAAGCAACACUUGAUCUCCAACUCCUUGGUCGUCGCCAAGGAAUACCUCCAAGAGUUCCUCUGCCUCCACCAACAAGGACUCAUUAUUCACGGUCUACUAGCUUUGACCAACAGUCUGGUGUUUAUUCACGGUCUAGUAGCUUUGGUCAACAAACAAGUGGGUUUCAGCAAUCAGAUAGUUUCAAACAGCGACAGCAUGGAGCUACAAGGAGGCCUGACAGUUAUUCAUCUGAAAGUUCACAGCCUGCGGCUUCAAGGAUACCCGACACUUAUGCAUCAGAAAGUUCAGAAAGCACACUUUCAUGCGCCAUAUGUAUGGAUAAAUCAAAGGAUCUUGCAUUUGGAUGUGGGCAUCAGACUUGCUAUGACUGCGGGAAAAAUUUGGUGCGCUGCCCUAUGUGCCAGCAGCACAUAACCACCAGGAUCAGGCUGUAUUGA